UACGGAGGAUCCGAGCGUUAUCCGGAAUUAUUGGGUUUAAAGGGUGCGUAGGCGGCCAAUUAAGUCAGGGGUGAAAUACAGCGGCUCAACCGUUGCAGUGCCUUUGAUACUGAUUAGCUUGAAUGUGGCCGAAGGAGGCGGAAUGGGACAAGUAGCGGUGAAAUGCAUAGAUAUGUCCCAGAACCCCGAUUGCGAAGGCAGCUUCCUAGACCAUUAUUGACGCUGAUGCACGAAAGCGUGGGGAUCGAAC
rnacentral:rRNA from 1 species